GAUGAACGCUGGCGGCGUGCCUAAUACAUGCAAGUCGAGCGAACGGACGAGAAGCUUGCUUCUCUGAUGUUAGCGGCGGACGGGUGAGUAACACGUGGAUAACCUACCUAUAAGACUGGGAUAACUUCGGGAAACCGUAGCUAAUACCGUAUAAUAUUUUGAACCGCAUGGUUCAAAAGUGAAAGACGGUCUUGCUGUCACUUAUAGAUGGAUCCGCGCUGCAUUAGCUAGUUGGUAAGGUAACGGCUUACCAAGGCAACGAUGCAUAGCCGACCUGAGAGGGUGAUCGGCCACACUGGAACUGAGACGCGGUCCAGACUCCUACGGGAGGCAGCAGUAGGGAAUCUUCCGCAAUGGGCGAAAGCCUGACGGAGCAACGCCGCGUGAGUGAUGAAGGUCUUCGGAUCGUAAAGCUCUGUUAUUAGGGAAGAACAUAUGUGUAAGUAACUGUGCACAUCGUGACGGUACCUAAUCAGAAAGCCACGGCUAACUACGUG
rnacentral:rRNA from 1 species